rnacentral:rRNA from 1 species
AUUAGAUACCCUGGGUAGUCCACGCAGUAAACGAUGAAUGCUGGCUGUCCGGCCCGGUACAGGGCUGGGUGGCGAAGCGAAAGCGAUAAGCAUUCCACCUGGGGAGUACGCCGGCAACGGUGAAACUCAAAGGAAUUGACGGGGGCCCGCACAAGCGGAGGAACAUGUGGUUUAAUUCGAUGAUACGCGAGGAACCUUACCCGGGCUCAAACGGGAGACGGAUGGCGCAGAGACGCGUCAGACCUACGGGACGUCUUCCGAGGUGCUGCAUGGUUGUCGUCAGCUCGUGCCGUGAGGUGUCGGCUUAAGUGCCAUAACGAGCGCAACCCCCGCGGGCAGUUGCCAUCAGGUGAUGCUGGGGACUCUGCCCGGACUGCCGGCGCAAGCCGCGAGGAAGGCGGGGAUGACGUCAAAUCAGCACGGCCCUUACGUCCGGGGCGACACACGUGUUACAAUGGGGGGUACAGCGGGAAGCCAGGCGGUGACGCCGAGCGGAACCCGAAAGCCCCUCUCAGUUCGGAUCGGAGUCUGCAACCCGACUCCGUGAAGCUGGAUUCGCUAGUAAUCGCGCAUCAGCCAUGGCGCGGUGAAUACGUUCCCGGGCCUUGUACACACCGCCCGUCAAGCCAUGGGAGCCGGGAGCGCUUGAAGUGCGUCGCCGCGAGGCGCGCCCUAGAGCGAGACCGGUGACUGGGGCUAAGUCGUAACAAGGUACC